rnacentral:rRNA from 1 species
GACGAACGCUGGCGGCGUGCUUAACACAUGCAAGUCGAACGGAAAGGCCCUGCUUUUGUGGGGUGCUCGAGUGGCGAACGGGUGAGUAACACGUGAGUAACCUGCCCUUGACUUUGGGAUCACUUCAGGAAACUGGGGCUAAUACCGGAUAGGAGCUCCUGCUGCAUGGUGGGGGUUGGAAAGUUUCGGCGGUUGGGGAUGGACUCGCGGCUUAUCAGCUUGUUGGUGGGGUAGUGGCUUACCAAGGCUUUGACGGGUAGCCGGCCUGAGAGGGUGACCGGCCACAUUGGGACUGAGAUACGGCCCAGACUCCUACGGGAGGCAGCAGUGGGGAAUAUUGCACAAUGGGCGGAAGCCUGAUGCAGCAACGCCGCGUGCGGGAUGACGGCCUUCGGGUUGUAAACCGCUUUCGCCUGUGACGAAGCGUAAGUGACGGUAAUGGGUAAAGAAGCACCGGCUAACUACGUG